rnacentral:misc_RNA from 1 species
AGGAAAUGGGACUUUUAGAUGGUCAGAUGGAAGUUUUUAUGUGGGUGUUUGGAGUAAAGAUCCUAAAGAGCAAAAUGGGACUUAUUAUCCUUCUGGAUCUAAGUCAGGGAAUUUGGAUUGGAAUCCACAAGAGUUGUUUUUGGAGGACAUGAGUGAUUGCCAAAUUUCUGCUUGUGAAAAGGUCUCAAUUUUCCCAUCACAUAAGACCUUGAAUUGGGCUGGUAUUGAUCAAGGGAGUGUUAAGCCA